UACAGAGGUCUCAAGCGUUGUUCGGAUUCAUUGGGCGUAAAGGGUGCGUAGGCGGUGGGGCAAGUCAGGUGUGAAAUCCCGGAGCUCAACUCCGGAACUGCACUUGAUACUGCUUUACUAGAGUACUGGAGAGGAGACUGGAAUUUACGGUGUAGCAGUGAAAUGCGUAGAUAUCGUAAGGAAGACCAGUGGCGAAGGCGAGUCUCUGGACAGUUACUGACACUGAGGCACGAAGGCCAGGGGAGCAAACGGG
rnacentral:rRNA from 1 species